GACGAACGCUGGCGGCGUGCUUAACACAUGCAAGUCGAACGAUGAUGCCCAGCUUGCUGGGUGGAUUAGUGGCGAACGGGUGAGUAACACGUGAGUAACCUGCCCCUGACUCUGGGAUAAGCGUUGGAAACGACGUCUAAUACUGGAUAUGAUCACUGGCCGCAUGGUCUGGUGGUGGAAAGAUUUUUUGGUUGGGGAUGGACUCGCGGCCUAUCAGCUUGUUGGUGAGGUAAUGGCUCACCAAGGCGACGACGGGUAGCCGGCCUGAGAGGGUGACCGGCCACACUGGGACUGAGACACGGCCCAGACUCCUACGGGAGGCAGCAGUGGGGAAUAUUGCACAAUGGGCGAAAGCCUGAUGCAGCAACGCCGCGUGAGGGAUGACGGCCUUCGGGUUGUAAACCUCUUUUAGUAGGGAAGAAGCGAAAGUGACGGUACCUGCAGAAAAAGCACCGGCUAACUACGUGCCAGCAGCCGCGGUAAUACGUAGGGUGCAAGCGUUGUCCGGAAUUAUUGGGCGUAAAGAGCUCGUAGGCGGUUUGUCGCGUCUGCUGUGAAAUCCCGAGGCUCAACCUCGGGCUUGCAGUGGGUACGGGCAGACUAGGGUGCGGUAGGGGAGAUUGGAAUUCCUGGUGUAGCGGUGGAAUGCGCAGAUAUCAGGAGGAACACCGAUGGCGAAGGCAGAUCUCUGGGCCGUAACUGACGCUGAGGAGCGAAAGCAUGGGGAGCGAACAGGAUUAGAUACCCUGGUAGUCCAUGCCGUAAACGUUGGGCGCUAGAUGUAGGGACCUUUCCACGGUUUCUGUGUCGUAGCUAACGCAUUAAGCGCCCCGCCUGGGGAGUACGGCCGCAAGGCUAAAACUCAAAGGAAUUGACGGGGGCCCGCACAAGCGGCGGAGCAUGCGGAUUAAUUCGAUGCAACGCGAAGAACCUUACCAAGGCUUGACAUACACCGGAAACGGCCAGAGAUGGUCGCCCCCUUGUGGUCGGUGUACAGGUGGUGCAUGGUUGUCGUCAGCUCGUGUCGUGAGAUGUUGGGUUAAGUCCCGCAACGAGCGCAACCCUCGUUCUAUGUUGCCAGCGGGUUAUGCCGGGGACUCAUAGGAGACUGCCGGGGUCAACUCGGAGGAAGGUGGGGAUGACGUCAAAUCAUCAUGCCCCUUAUGUCUUGGGCUUCACGCAUGCUACAAUGGCCGGUACAAAGGGCUGCGAUACCGUAAGGUGGAGCGAAUCCCAAAAAGCCGGUCUCAGUUCGGAUUGAGGUCUGCAACUCGACCUCAUGAAGUCGGAGUCGCUAGUAAUCGCAGAUCAGCAACGCUGCGGUGAAUACGUUCCCGGGCCU
rnacentral:rRNA from 1 species